CUUGCAGGAUGUUGAUGCUACCGGUGUAGAAACAGAAGCCGACAAACAACGCAAGCGAAAGGAGAAAAGCUUGAGGGUCGACGAUGAUGACUUUGUGGACGAUUCACCCAAAGUUCAAAAAACAAAAAAUAUAGAAGGUGUCUCAUUCCCCCUCAAAGCAAAAAAAGUUGAAACACUCUAAAAAACCACAAAAUUGGUUCCACAACAAAUUUCAGUUAAGGUAAACAACUUUUUUUUUUCUCGACAAUGUUUUGUGGUUUAAUAUUUUUUUGCCAAAAAAUUAGAAUUCAAUUGUUUGUUUGGCGUCUAAGUGUUUUUUGUAAAAAUAUAAUGUAUUAUUGCAUAUUAGGGUUGCUUAUACAAAUUGUAGUUAAUUGUUGUUAUUCAGAGUUAAUGUGUAAUAAAUAUAAUGUAUUUUUGCAUAUUAGGGUUGCUUAUACAAAUUGUAGUUAAUUGUUGCUAUUCGGAGUUAAUGUGUAAUUGUUUGGCUGAAUAUACUGUGUAAUCAAAUUUAGUCAAUUGUAGUUUUUUGUAGUUUAAUGUAGUGUAAUGUAAUGUUUAUUUGGAACUGUC
rnacentral:lncRNA from 1 species